ensembl:lncRNA
UGUAAUUAUUCGCCUACCUCCUCAUGCCUUUUGCACACAUUGUAUAUAGACUCCCCCCUUUGUUUUCUACUGUGUUAUUGACUUGUUAAUUGUUUAUUCCAUGUGUAACUCUGUGUUGUCUGCUCUCACUGCUAUGCUUUAUCUUGGCCAGGUCGCAGUUGCAAAUGAGAACUUGUUCUCAACUGGCCUACCUGGUUAAAUAAAGGUAAGAUAAAAAUAAUAAUAAUAAAACAAAAAAAUUUAACAAUGACUAAAUAGCUUGUAGCUAGUUAGCUGGUUAGCUUCUGGAGGUUCUUGAGUGUGUUCUAAAAAUUAAAAAUAAUAGCGAUUCCGUAUCACAUUGGGUGAGGCAGG